rnacentral:rRNA from 1 species
UGGGGAAUAUUGCACAAUGGGCGCAAGCCUGAUGCAGCGACGCCGCGUGAGGGAUGACGGCCUUCGGGUUGUAAACCUCUUUCAAUAGGGACGAAGCGCAAGUGACGGUACCUAUAGAAGAAGGACCGGCCAACUACGUGCCAGCAGCCGCGGUAAUAAUCACUAGUGAAUUCGCGG